AGUAAAAUGUCUGAAAAAAGUAAUAAAUUGUAAAUUUAUUUAUAGAAUUAAAAUUCUUUUUACUA
rnacentral:tRNA from 1 species